CUUGAAUCAACAAAUUGAGCCACGAAUUGUAGGAAAUUCAUAUGCAUGAGCCCUCAAAAUCAAGCAUCUAACCCUAGUUAGUAAAGAGGCGUAAAGGAAGAAAGCUCGAACACUAGUAAAGCGGGAGGCGUACAAGAUCGAGGUAAAACUCCACUUUAGGCGAUUUGGAGACAUGGAGCGAGCACGUGUUCAUGCUUUAUUACACCAAGCGCUUCCGCUAGUUAUUUGCACACUUUUUGGGUCCAUGUCUUGUUAUUUUGUUUAAUCUUGU